CCAAGUGCUGUAGAGAAAGACUGAUCUUCUAAAGUUUCACCUUUAAUUUAGAAUAUAUCCUGUAGGUCCACAAAAAUAAAAAAAGAGGAAAAAGUAUAGUUCUUUUCUCAAAAUGUAAAUAUGUUAGUUCAUACACUUCAUUACACAAGGUGUGUGUGUGUGUGUGUGUGUGUGUGUGUAUGCACGCGCACACAUAGGCAGAUCCCUCUAAAAGAUAGUUAUUUUUUUAAAUACAUAAUUAGAAAGAAAGCUACAUGUUUACCUGUGAGUGGCUGUUAAUUGAUUCAGAACUAAAGAGGAUUAAGUACAUAGACGUUAAUAUGUCCACUGUUAUUAAUUUCCAAACAACAAUAGCAACAUUAUCCUGAAUAAAUCUGUUACUAGUACGGAUAAAUAGUUGUUUAAGACUCCACUGAUGUCAGAACUGAAAUCCAUAGGUCAGGACUUACUUCACCAAUCCAGUCCUUAGGAACACAAGUUUUGAAUGUGUUCAUCAGCUCGGUGUGCCGGAAGAGCUACAGACUUCCCCAGUUCUUGUUCGACAUCAACCUGGGAGUAUUCCUUGACUAAGUCGUUCAGCUCUUGGCAGAACAAUCAGAUUCCCUAUUGUACCCCGAAGCUGGUCAAUCACAGCUGCACUCUUACACCACCCGCCUACAGCCUUUGUGUCUGUAACACAUCCACAAACGCUCUGGAAUAAACACAAAAUUUCUACGUUGCUCUGUUGAUCUCAGCAAUGCAGUGAAACAGGUCGGUCUCCUGCAUGGAGGAGGCAUCAUUUUCAAAAAUAUGCACAGGCAUCAGAAACAUAUGCAUCAUUCCCAAGACUUGGGAAGCUGACUUGAGAAUCCUCAAGGAUCUAGAAAACGAAGGAACAAUUGUGUCUCCUUAAAUGUAUUACCAUCUCAUUCUUUUCUUUCAGCUGCUCAACAGACAUUUACAAAGUCAGGUCACAGAAUGGCUGCCAUACAACCUCGAUUUUCUGCAAGGCUCGCCAAGCUAAUCGUGAUUAGCUGCUACAGACAGAAGAUAGGGCCGGUGAAGAAAGUCCAAACAAUGGAGUCUAAUGUGAGACCACAAAGGCUUUCAUGUUGAGAAUGUAACCUCUUGUGAGAUAGAUUCAGCAGCCUCAAGCUUAGAAAACUCCAGGAAAGUUCUUCAGUUUCUCUGAGGAAGAGAUUGGCUGAGUGAAACCAUGUCAAAUAGGUGGAGCGAGUGACAUCUAAGUAAACACAGAUCCCCAGAUGGCUACCCACCGGCCUCCUGUCCCUGAAGCUCUCCUCCGAGUAGACAUUGCUUCAGAACAACUCUGGAGCCAACACUGACGUCAAACAAGAGUACAUGUGGAAUGACCCAUAGCUCCAGCUGCAUAUAUAGCAGAGGAUGGCAUUGUCUGGCAUCAAUAGAAGGAGAAGCCCUUGGUCCUGUGAAGACUGGAUGCUCCAGUGAAAUACAUCUUUGCCUUUGAACAAUACGAGGCCUAAGUGUCAUGUGACUUAGCAUCCUGGCUGCAUGUGUCAUGCAUAAUUUCCUUCACUUUAAUAGUACUGUGUUUAUUUUUAAAAGAAAAAGAACUAGAAAAUAUUAUCCUUAUAAAAGAGACACAUGGUAUGUACUCACU
rnacentral:sRNA from 1 species